rnacentral:misc_RNA from 1 species
UACAGAGGUCCCAAGCGUUGUUCGGAUUCAUUGGGCGUAAAGGGUGCGUAGGCGGUCGCCUAAGUCAGGUGUGAAAUCUCGGAGCUCAACUCCGAAACUGCACUUGAUACUGGGUGACUAGAGUACUGGAGGGGAGACUGGAAUUUACGGUGUAGCAGUGAAAUGCGUAGAUAUCGUAAGGAAGACCAGUGGCGAAGGCGAGUCUCUGGACAGUUACUGACGCUGAGGCACGAAGGCUAGGGGAGCAAACGGG